GGACUACCAGGGUAUCUAAUCCUGUUUGAUCCCCACGCUUUCGCAUCUCAGCGUCAGUAUUGAGCCAGGUAGCCGCCUUCGCCACCGGUAUUCCUCCUGAUAUCUACGUAUUUCACCACUACACCAGGAAUUCUACUACCCUCUCUCAUACUCAAGCUCAGCAGUAUCAGAUGCACUUCCUGGGUUGAGCCCAGGGCUUUCACAACUGACUUACCAAGCCGCCUACAUGCGCUUUACGCCCAGUGAUUCCGAACAACGCUAGGACCCCUCGUCUUACCGCGGCUGCUGGCAC
rnacentral:rRNA from 1 species